CGUAAAUUUGGUCCGCCUUUUCUCCCCUGCUCCAACAGUCUCUUCUCGGAGAGUCGCAGUAGCUUCGCAGUCCCCACCGGGGCAACGGUAAACCCUCGCCGGCGAAGCGCGCGCGCCGGAAGCCCAAUGGCAGGGGCCUUCGCCGCCGCUUCGGCCGCCGAGCCCUUCUCCAUACGGGGGUUCGCCGCCAGGAUGCGGGCCGUGGAUGCGGCCAAGAGCUGUCCAUUCGGCGGCUGCGGGAACGGGGAGUCGGUGCUGCCGCCGCAGCAGCUCCCGCCAAUGGACCCGCCGCCGCGGUCACGGUGGUGGGCGCACGAGCUUUCGGCGGCGAGGGCGCGGUCGGGGUUCGCUGCUGGGGGCGAAGAGGCUGCCAUGGGCAGCGGUGAGGGGGAUAGUUUGCGGAAGGCGAUGAAGAGGAAGGGAUCUCGCGGGAGCGGCGGUGCCGAGAGGGCCAAGAAGCGGCAGAAGGCACUCCAAUUUAGCCUCUUUUUGAAGCACAAGGAGAGAACAUCUAAACCCCAAUCAGCAUCUUGCUCCCUCCAAAACGUAUUCUAUAAGGGAUUGAGAAAACACACAAGUUGUACAACUCGUAGACUGAGAGAACUUGCUGUGAGGAAAAAAUUGCAAGAGCGACAGGAUCAUACACUGACCUGUGGAAACAGCUUGAAGAAACAGUGCGUGAGAGGGAUGGACCACAAACUAAGGAUAAAAGUCAGUAGGCCAAUUAAUUAUCCUCCAAAUUCUGGCUGCGAAGUGGUGAAGCAUGUUGCAUACCCUCCCAAGGAUGAUAUUUUCGGAGAUCUACCUCUUUUAGAAAGCUCCAAAAUUAUGUUUCAUACUGGAGUUGAUAUACUUCCUACUGUUAUAGAAGAUCCUUUUGCAGUAAAUCAAAGUGUACCAGAUGCCAUAUUGGGAACUGAACCUUUGAAACUAAUGCCUGCUUCUGAAAUUUCAAAGCAAACACCACUCCCCUUUGAAGACUUCGUAAAGAAGGAAGGAACUCCUGAAAAAGAGACAACAUGCAUUUCUCCCAAUGAUGUAGGAAAGGGUCAUUCUUCCAAUGCUGAGUUUGAUGGUCUGCUAAAUCAUGGAAGUGACACCAUUGGGAAAACAUAUCUUGGUGAAAUGCAGAUGAAAUCUACUAAUGUUUCUGCUUUAAGUUCAUAUUCUAAUGAGGGAGCAAAAUCUUGUUCUAACAACAACUCUCCACGGAGUUGUUUCUACACAAACACAAAUUGCUUCCAGAGAAUAAAGAAAACCGGCACCAGUUCAGCGGCAGUGAGAACCAGAAUUGAAGAAACUAAAAACGAUAGAGAUGCAGCAGUCAUUGUCAAGACAAGCAAUUGUAUCUCUGGUCGACAGGUUCCCAAUGAGUACCAUCUUUCAUCUGAAGGCAGUGUGUUAUCUUCGGCAAUAUCACAGGGAGCAAAAUCUUGUUCUAGCAACCCUCCACAGAGUUGUUUCUACAUGGGCACAAAUUGCGUUCGGACAAUAAAAAAAACUGGUACCAGUUCAGCAGCAGUGAGAACCAGAAUUGAAGCAACUAAAAACAACAGAGAUGCAGCAGUCAUUGCCAAGAAGAGGAAUUAUAUCUCUGGUCGACAGGUUCCCACCGAGUACCAUCUUUCAUCUGAAGGCAGUUUGGUAUCUUCGGCAAUAUCACAGGGGACUGUCAAUGCAGGAACAAACACAGAUGGCUUAUCUUCCUGCAGGAGUGUACCUGCCCAGGAAUAUGUUUCUACAUCUAGUCCAUUUUAUAAAUUUGCGAGCAAUGCAUGUGAUGAAAGUAGAAAAUCUGUGGAUACAUGCGCAUCAUCAUCAGUGAAGGACCAAGGUAGCUUGUACCCAAAACAUCAGCCAGCUUACCCUUCUGCAAGUAUUGGCUUGGCUUUUAUGAAGCUACCUGGCCUUGAGAGAAUGGAGAUAUCAAGCCACGAUCCGAGGACAGGCGAAAAUAAAUUUAUGAAUGGGCUAUCAUUGAACACAAGAAGGUGCCAAGAACAGCAGAUGGCAAGUGGCAUGACCAACAUUAUACAAGGUCAGAAUAUGAUUGGUUUCAGCGAUUCUCAAGCCGGGAAAAAGGUCCCUGAUUGUUUUGUGAGACAAGAUAACUUUCAUUCCCACCAACCCACAAUGCGCUUGAUGGGCAAGACAGUCUCAGUUUGUGAACGUGUCAAGGAGCAUAAGUUAUCAACUACAGGGAAAGUGUGGAUUGACAGUAGCAUUACUGAAGAAGACCGCCCCUCGCCAGUUUCAUGCCAGUUGCCACAAAAGAGAUUGUGUCCUUAUCCAGUUUCUGUGAUACCAAGAGCUUGCGUUAAUGAAUCUUCAUAUAUUUUUUCAAGCAUUUCAAACAGUACUUUAGCAGAGGCAAGGCCUAUUGCCAGUGAUGCUCAAAAUCAGAGGCUGCAACUGAUUAACAGUGUUUCUUCAACAGUAAAAGAUCACAUUUCGAAUCCUAUCAGUCACUUUGUUUGUCAAGCUCAGAUAAACAAGGAAUCUGUCAUAGAUGUCAACUCCAGGACCAGACAUUUAGAGCUAUAUCAACCACAAAAGUUGAUGAACGUUCCUCAAAAUCAAUACCCUCACUUAAACACUCCUGCAUCAAGCAUGUACAUGGAAGACCACACUUCUUUGGGUUCAGCAGUAAAUCAUUCUUCUCCUUCAUUUCCACAACGGGUGCUUAAUACGAGCAUGCAGGGGAAGUAUCAGAAAUGCACCUCAUUGGGUUAUGAGGACACCAGUUCUGUUCCUACUCACAAGCACUGCCAAGUACCUGGAGCAAAUUUAUUGUCCACUUCAAUCGUAUCCUUUCGUGAGUAUGGUACAAAUAGUGCUGAGCUCAGAAACUCUUAUCAGGCAGGGCGUCCUUCCGUCACAACUAGUUCGUCAAGUAAGUCUAUUCCAACAAUCAGCCCAACGUGUACUGGCAGUCUUUUUAAUAUAGAUGGCAGAAAGGGCGUUUCCUUCAUCAAUCAAAGUAACAAGAGACCAGCUUGUGCAGAUAACGUUUUGUACCAACCUGCAAAGAGACAGCUUGUUGCAGACAAACUGGAGUUAACAACUCCAAUGGUCCCAAACAUACAGAACUAUUCACUUGGCUGGUCACUAAAUGAUGCAGUUGGUCCUCGGAUACUUGAUUUUAGUAACAAAUAAGCAGGACCCGACACACAAAUAUCAUUUUUUUUUAAAUGGUUUAGCCGACAGUCUUGUCCAGUUCCAGUUACUGAAACAAGGUUGAGGACUGUAAGCGUGAUUGCAGGAGCUAAAACCUCAUUGAAGCCAACAGGUCAAUACCUGAAUGAUCAUUCUAAGAUGUUAUACUGCAUUGUUUUUUGCUGUUGAUAUGGUAUUCGGUUUGCACUAUAAAUGGAAUGAAUUAAAAGAAUGAUGUAACGUCCUUCUUCCAGUUAUAGUUCUGGAGUUUUUUGGUCAUUGGAUAGUCAGCAAAGGGGAUGUUGUGGUGGUAGCUUUUCUGCAAUUCUAAACAUGUUAGUUUAGCAAUUAGUGGAUUACUGCUAUUCAUGUAAACUUCUCGGCGAAUGUGCAAGAAUAUUGAUUUUGGAAUUCAUGUCAUGACAUAUCUAAUACAAGCCCGAGUACUAAGAAUUGUAAUUCGAGCUCAUUCUAUUUCUAACUGUAUGUGUUCUGAUCCCUUGACGCAUAUCAGUUCAAUUAUGUAAUCUGCAUAUACCCUUUGGAGUUUUGGUCCAGAAAGUAAAGACAUCACGCUGCUGAGAGUAGUAUUUUUGUUCAGCCUUUGCAACCUUCGCCUAACUAUAUCCCCUUUCAAUCGAAACAGCAUCAGCUGUAGCGAAAGCGUGCUCCUUUUGUAGAUUCAGUCAUCAGCAGAUCAGCUAGUCGAGACAAUGACAAGUACAUGGAAAGUACGGUUUCUUUCAGAAAUCAGGACCACUCUGAACUAGGAGUAAAACACAAGCUUCCGAUGCCUCAUCUAAGUUAGCCCUCUUGUUGUGCAAUCUUGGAAAAGAUUCCCGACGAGGCGACGAUACAUGCAGUUGCUUCAGACCUUUCCAACUUCAUGUUGUUCUUUCUUUCCUUGGACCAAGAAAGUAUAAAGCCAUCAGGUGUAUCUCUUGUCAUCUACACCAUCGCAUACCGAUCAAGAAGAAGAUCAAGAAACCACGGCGAAAGCUUUUAUCAGCAGUUGCAGCAUAAUAUCAUGGGUGUUCUCGGUGCCCUUGCCCGGCAUUUAGAUUCCCUUGUUGGGCCAGGAAUCAUGCUGCUUUACCCUCUAUACGCGUCGAUGCGUGCGAUAGAAAGCCCUUCUUCGCUGGAUGAUCAGCAAUGGCUCACCUACUGGGUCUUGUACUCCCUGAUCACCCUCUUUGAGCUGUCAUGCUGGAAGGCCCUCCAAUGGCUUCCUCUGUGGCCAUACGUUAAGCUACUCUUCUGCUGCUGGCUGGUGCUGCCCAUCUUCAACGGCGCGGCCUACAUCUACGAGACUCACGUCCGACGCUACUUCAAGAUCGGGCAGUACGUGAGCCCCGGCUACAGUGAGAGGCAGAGGAAGGUGCUGCAGAUGAUGAGCCUUGACGCACGCAAGUCCGUCGAGCGCUUCAUCGAGACGCACGGGCCUGGCGCCCUGGAGAAGAUCAUCCAAGCUGCUGAACAGGAAGCGAAGAGAGCCUAGUUUUUACUUGUGGUGAAGUGGAAGGCAAUUAACUUGGAGAAACAAGUGGGAAUGGCUGAUGUGUGACUCCUGUAACUAAUAUGCUUCACCAGAGUUGUAAUCCAAUCCUUGUGCCGUGUGCGUGUGUUUGAUCUGUUCGUUGGGCUUGACAAGAUUCCUUGCUGUAUAAAAGAUGUUGCCACAAGCCCACAAGCAAGGUUGAGGAAUACAAUGUGAGACGAUCCUAUUCUGACAUGUGAAACUAGUCUGUGAAUGAAAAAUAAACAGAGAUCUCCGAACA